UUGGUGUGAUAAUAAAGUUAUAAUGUGUUUGAUCUUGUUCUAUUCCAAGAAUAACGAAGAAAACUUUUCUGAGGAACAUAUUAGGUCUAAAGCCUUCGAAAAUUUUUUUCCCCGUGCCCGAGUUUGAAGUUUUAAACAGCAUAAUGGAGUCGGUGAUCGAUAGCCUAUGAUGGACCCUUCUCUUUCCUCGCAUUCACUGAAUGUUGAUGCAGUGGUACCAUCGAUACUCUACGAACGCCCAUGAUGCACAAAAGAAGAAGAGAAGAAGUGAACGCCCAUGGUGCACACCGUUUCUCAUCGCCGUAAUGGUGUUUUUGAGGUCCC
rnacentral:lncRNA from 1 species